rnacentral:rRNA from 1 species
GACAGAGGGGGCAAGCGUUGCUUGGAAUCACUGGGCGUAAAGGGCGCGUAGGCGGGAUGGCAAGUCAGUCGUGAAAUCUCUCGGCUCAACCGAGAAACGUCGGCUGAUACUGCCGUUCUUGAGGGAUGCAGAGGAGACUGGAAUUCCCGGUGUAGCGGUGAAAUGUGUAGAGAUCGGGAGGAACACCGGUGGCGAAGGCGGGUCUCUGGGCAUCUCCUGACGCUGAGGCGCGAAAGCCAGGGGAGCGAACGGG